GUGGUCUUCAACCUGUUUGCCAUGUCAGGAAACAAAACGCCAAUUGCGGUCUUGGUGAUCUUGGCUUUACUCCCAAGUGCAGUGGCACAUAAAACAUACUACGGAGGCAAAGGCCACAACAGUGCUUCAGGUUGUCGAGAUGACAGCAACUAUUGCCAGGCGUUGAAGUUUAGAUGCGCACACCCCUACAUAAAGAAGAGAUGCCGUUUGAGCUGUA